CAGAGUUUUAAACUCACCAAACCCACUGUAAACCUACCUAUGUUCGCUCCACCGGCAGGCGGCCCCAGGGUGGGGUCUUAGCCUAUGGCGUCUGCCGAAGGGGCCCAACUUUUUGCUCUUUACCAUACAGUAUGAGUCUUAGACAAAAUUGUUA
rnacentral:misc_RNA from 1 species